UACGAAGGGGGCUAGCGUUGCUCGGAAUCACUGGGCGUAAAGGGCGCGUAGGCGGCCAUUCAAGUCAGGGGUGAAAGCCUGUGGCUCAACCACAGAAUUGCCUUUGAUACUGUUUGGCUAGAGACCGGAAGAGGUAAGUGGAACUGCGGGUGUAGAGGUGAAAUUCGUAGAUAUUCGCAAGAACACCAGUGGCGAAGGCGGCUUACUGGUCCGGUUCUGACGCUGAGGCGCGAAAGCGUGGGGAGCAAACAGG
rnacentral:rRNA from 1 species